rnacentral:lncRNA from 1 species
AAAUUAAAAACUAAUUGCCAAAAUAUGAUUUCAAUUUUGAUGUUUAUUAUUAUAUAUUUUGUCCACUAAUGAAAAACAGUACACUUCAUGGCAUGCUUGUAUUUCUUCCAGUUCAGCUGCCGUAACUACAUUGCCAAAGAAAAUUGGAACUGGCAAUGGUAAUUUAUGAUUUACAAUACACAAUUUAUUGAUAUGAUAUUUAAAAAAAAUGAUUUCAGUGUAAACUGUCCAUAAAAUUGGAAGUUCUUAUUUAUUUAUUUGUUGUUAUCCUGCAUAAAAGCUUAUACAUUUAGAUUCAUUAAGUAAUUAUAUAAGAUAUUUUUAUGGCAGAGCACAAUAUCUUUUUAUCUUUUUUGUUCCAUGGUGCUACUACAAACAAUAAUAUUGAAGUCAUUUUGUCUAAAAAAAAUGAAACAUGAGUUUAUUAGAUUAACUUCAACCACAUAUAGGUAUAUUAAGUACACCUUGCUUUCAAUUGAGUAUGACUUUAGCAAGCCUCAUUCUCACAAUAUAGAAAGAAAAAAGGCCACUUAUGCCUGUCUGGCAAUGUUUUGAAUGUUAUUUAUACAUAUUGAUGAUUUUAUACAACGACUUUCCUUUGAUAUUAUGUAAAGAAAUUCUAACUUUGAUGUU